GAUGAACGCUGGCGGCGUGCCUAAUACAUGCAAGUCGAGCGAAUGGAUUAAGAGCUUGCUCUUAUGAAGUUAGCGGCGGACGGGCGAGUAACACGUGGGUAACCUGCCCAUAAGACUGGGAUAACUCCGGGAAACCGGGGCUAAUACCGGAUAACAUUUUGAACCGCAUGGUUCGAAAUUGAAAGGCGGCUUCGGCUGUCACUUAUGGAUGGACCCGCGUCGCAUUAGCUAGUUGGUGAGGUAACGGCUCACCAAGGCAACGAUGCGUAGCCGACCUGAGAGGGUGAUCGGCCACACUGGGACUGAGACACGGCCCAGACUCCUACGGGAGGGAGCAGUAGGGGAUCUUCCGCAAUGGACGAAAGUCUGACGGAGCAACGCCGCGUGAGUGAUGAAGGCUUUCGGGUCGUAAAACUCUGUUGUUAGGGAAGAACAAGUGCUAGUUGAAUAAGCUGGCACCUUGACGGUACCUAACCAGAAAGCCACGGCUAACUACGUGCCAGCCGCCGCAGUAA
rnacentral:rRNA from 1 species